GCCUGGGUGGCUCAGUCGGUUAAGCGUCUGACUUCGGCUCAGGUCAUGAUCUCAUGGUUCGUGGGUUCGAGCCCCGCGUCGGGCU
rnacentral:tRNA from 1 species